GAUGAAGAACGCAGCGAAAUGCGAUAAGUAAUGUGAAUUGCGGAAUUCAGUGAAUCAUCGAAUCUUUGAACGCACAUUGCGCCCCUUGGUAUUCCGAGGGGCAUGCCUGUUCGAGCGUCAUUAUAACCCCUCAAGCUCAGCUUGGUGUUGGGGCCUGCUGCACUGGCAGCCCUUAAAAUCAGUGGCGGCGCCAUCUGGCUCUAAGCGUAGUAAUUCUUCUCGCUAUGGAGUCCUGGUGGAUGCUUGCCAUCAACCCCCAAUUUUUCUAUGGUUGACCUCGGAUCAGGUAGGGAUACCCGCUGAACUUAAGCAUAUCAAUAAGCGGAGGA
rnacentral:misc_RNA from 1 species